rnacentral:rRNA from 1 species
CUGCUGCCUCCCGUAGGAGUCUGGUCCGUGUCUCAGUACCAGUGUGGGGGACCUUCCUCUCAGGCCGGCUACUGAUCGCUGCCUUGGUGGGCCGUUACCCCGCCAACUAGCUAAUCAGACGCGGAUCCAUCGUAUACCACCGGAGUUUUUCACACUGCCCCAUGCGGAGCCGUGCGCUUAUGCGGUAUUAGCACCUAUUUCUAAGUGUUAUCCCCCGGUAUACGGCAGGUUAUCCACGCGUUACUCACCCGUCCGCCA